rnacentral:rRNA from 1 species
UACGAAGGGGGCUAGCGUUGUUCGGAUUUACUGGGCGUAAAGCGCACGUAGGCGGAUAUUUAAGUCAGGGGUGAAAUCCCGGGGCUCAACCCCGGAACUGCCUCUGAUACUGGAUAUCUCGAGUCCGGAAGAGGUGAGUGGAAUUCCGAGUGUAGAGGUGAAAUUCGUAGAUAUUCGGAGGAACACCAGUGGCGAAGGCGGCUCACUGGUCCGGUACUGACGCUGAGGUGCGAAAGCGUGGGGAGCAAACAGGG